UGAUGUGAGGGCGAUCUGGCUGCGACAUCUGUCACCCCAUUGAUCGCCAGGGUUGAUUCGGCUGAUCUGGCUGGCUAGGCGGGUGUCCCCUUCCUCCCUCACCGCUCCAUGUGCGUCCCUCCCGAAGCUGCGCGCUCGGUCGAAGAGGACGACCAUCCCCGAUAGAGGAGGACCGUUCUUCUCGGUCAAGGGUAUACGAGUAGCUGCGCUCCCCUGCUAGAACCUCCAAACAAGCUCUCAAGAGUGUAAGUGAGAUUUCCUGUCUAAAAUUUUCUCAUGGGAAUGAGUGGCCACGAAUUGCUGUAUACUUAGGUGUAGGUAACAGUGCUU
ensembl:misc_RNA 7SK 7SK RNA